GGCUCAGAUUGAACGCUGGCGGCAUGCCUUACACAUGCAAGUCGAACGGCAGCACGGGAGCUUGCUCCUGGUGGCGAGUGGCGAACGGGUGAGUAAUGCAUCGGAACGUGCCCUGAAGUGGGGAUAACGUAGCGAAAGUUACGCUAAUACCGCAUAUUCUGUGAGCAGGAAAGCAGGGGAUCUUCGGACCUUGCGCUUUUGGAGCGGCCGAUGUCGGAUUAGCUAGUUGGUGGGUAAAGGCCCACCAAGGCGACGAUCCGUAGCGGGUCUGAGAGGAUGAUCCGCCACACUGGAACUGAGACACGGUCCAGACUCCUACGGGAGGCAGCAGUGGGGAAUUUUGGACAAUGGGCGCAAGCCUGAUCCAGCCAUGCCGCGUGAGUGAAGAAGGCCUUCGGGUUGUAAAGCUCUUUCGGUGGGGAAGAAAUUGCUUGGGUUAAUACCCUGAGUAGAUGACGGUACCCGCAUAAGAAGCACCGGCUAACUACGUG
rnacentral:rRNA from 1 species